AACGAACGCUGGCGGCAUGCCUAACACAUGCAAGUCGAACGAGACCUUCGGGUCUAGUGGCGCACGGGUGCGUAACGCGUGGGAACCUGCCCUUAGGUUCGGAAUAACUCCCCGAAAGGGGUGCUAAUACCGGAUAAUGUCUUCGGACCAAAGAUUUAUCGCCUUUGGAUGGGCCCGCGUUGGAUUAGCUAGUUGGUAGGGUAAAAGCCUACCAAGGCGACGAUCCAUAGCUGGUCUGAGAGGAUGAUCAGCCACACUGGGACUGAGACACGGCCCAGACUCCUACGGAAGGCGGCAGUGGGGAAUAUUGGACAAUGGGCGAAAGCAUGAUCCAGCAAUGCCGCGUGAGUGAUGAAGGCCUUAGGGUUGUAAAGCUCUUUUACCCGGGACGAUAAUGACAGUACCGGGAGAAUAAGCACCGGCUAACUCCGUG
rnacentral:rRNA from 1 species